rnacentral:rRNA from 1 species
GAUGAACGCUGGCGGCGUGCCUAAUACAUGCAAGUCGAGCGGCAGCACGGGUGCUUGCACCUGGUGGCGAGUGGCGGACGGGUGAGUAAUAUAUCGGAACGUACCUUAUUGUGGGGGAUAACGCAGCGAAAGCUGUGCUAAUACCGCCUAAUCCCUAAGGGAGAAAGCGGGGGACCGUAAGGCCUCGCGCAAUUAGAGCGGCCGAAACCUGAUUAGCUAGUUGGUGAGGUAAAGGCUGACCAGGGCAACGAUCAGUAGCUGGACUAAGAGGACGUUCAGCCACACUGGGACUGGAACACAGACCAGGAUCCGACAGGAGGCAGCAGUGGGGAAUUUGGGACAAUGGGGGAAACCCUGAUCCAGCAAUGCCGCGUGAGUGAAGAAGGCCUUCGGGUUGUAAAGCUCUUUUGUCAGGGAAGAAACAGCAGCUCUAACACAGUUUGCGAAUGACGGUACCUGAAGAAUAAGCACCGGCUAACUACGUGCCAGCCGCCGCGGUAA